rnacentral:rRNA from 1 species
CCUACGGGAGGCAGCAGUGGGGAAUAUUGCACAAUGGGGGGAACCCUGAUGCAGCGACGCCGCGUGAGUGAAGAAGUACUUCGGUAUGUAAAGCCCUAUCAGCAGGGAAGAAAAUGACGGUACCUGACCAAGAAGCCCCGGCUAACUACGUGCCAGCAGCCGCGGUAAUACGUAGGGGGCAAGCGUUAUCCGGAUUUACUGGGUGUAAAGGGAGCGUAGACGGCAAGACAAGUCUGGAGUGAAAGCCCGGGGCUUAACCCCGGGACUGCUUUGGAAACUGUGUUGCUGGAGUGCAGGAGGGGUAAGUGGAAUUCCUAGUGUAGCGGUGAAAUGCGUAGAUAUUAGGAGGAACACCAGUGGCGAAGGCGGCUUACUGGACUGUAACUGACGUUGAGGCUCGAAGGCGUGGGGAGCAAACAGGAUUAGAUACCCUUGUAGUC